GCUUAUCACCAUUCCAGAUUGAAUAUACCCGAUCUCGUCAGUUCUCGGAAGUCAAGCAAUCUCGGGCUGGGUUAGUACUUGGAUGGGUGACCGCUUGGGACAUACCAAGUGUGAUAAGCA
rfam:Ciona savignyi cont_29477, whole genome shotgun sequence.